UAAGUUGUUUCUAAACAGUAAAUUAUGACAAAGAUGAUAUGAUGUCACUGUCAUUAUUAUGUCACAUAAGAUUAUGACUUCUAUCUUGCUAGUAGACCCUCUCCAUUAACUCUCUCUCUUUCUGAUUGAGUGUAAGCUGCUAUAUGAAGGGAUCCACAAGACGAAUAAUUAAGGGGGACCUCUGAUCAACAGCCAGCAAGGAACUGAAUCCCUCAGACCCACAACUCACAAGAAACUGAAGCUGAAGCAGAUUCUUCCUCAGUCAAGCUUCAGGGGAGUUUCUGAUAUAGCCUGAGAAUGAUGAAGAUGCUGGAAAACCGGCCCCGUCACACACCAAUGAAGCACGAAUAGCUGUGCCCAUCUCUCAGACAACUGGCUGAUGUCGGCAGCAGGAACUGAACUGAACAAACAGGGAGGAGAGUGACUUUGCUUCUCAUCAAAGGUUACAGAAUGAAGCCUGCAGCUCAGCUUUCCAUGAAGUCAUCUUUAUGGAUUUGGGGUUCUGUGGAACUGAUUAGUAGCUUUAAAUCCCCACUUGGCUUUGUCUCCUGUUGUUGCUUUUAUACAGCCAAACUGACAGGGGUUUGUGAAUCAGAAUGAUGGCUUUGCAUUUUAGCUUAGGGAAGGGUCCCCGAAGAGGGAGGAAGAGGGCAGUACCUGCUUUGCAGAAAGGAUCUCAUUGAGAAUAGCAAAAGGAAGUUGGGAACCAUUACAGUGCCCAGCUGUAUUGGUAGAGGAGACCAACCACACCCUCCACAGCACAGCACCUGGAGAGGAACUGCUGCCAUGACCAUAGAGGACACCCUCUGGAUACAAUGCCAGACUUGAUGUGGGACUGACCAACCUAU
rnacentral:lncRNA from 10 species